rnacentral:rRNA from 1 species
UACGUAGGGACCAAGCGUUGUUCGGAUUUACUGGGCGUAAAGGGCGCGUAGGCGGCUUAACAAGUCACUUGUGAAAUCUCCGGGCUUAACUCGGAACGGCCAAGUGAAACUGUUAUGCUAGAGUGCGGAAGGGGCAAUCGGAAUUCUUGGUGUAGCGGUGAAAUGCGUAGAUAUCAAGAGGAACACCUGAGGUGAAGACGGGUUGCUGGGCCGACACUGACGCUGAUGCGCGAAAGCCAGGGGAGCAAACGGG